AUUGAACGCUGGCGGCAUGCCUUACACAUGCAAGUCGAACGGUAACAGGUCUUCGGAUGCUGACGAGUGGCGAACGGGUGAGUAAUACAUCGGAACGUGCCUAGUAGUGGGGGAUAACUACUCGAAAGAGUGGCUAAUACCGCAUGAGAUCUACGGAUGAAAGCAGGGGAUCGCAAGACCUUGUGCUACUAGAGCGGCCGAUGGCAGAUUAGGUAGUUGGUGGGAUAAAAGCUUACCAAGCCGACGAUCUGUAGCUGGUCUGAGAGGACGAUCAGCCACACUGGGAAUGAGACACGGCCCAGACUCCUACGGGAGGCAGCAGUGGGGAGUUUUGGACAAUGGGCGCAAGCCUGAUCCAGCAAUGCCGCGUGCAGGAUGAAGGCCUUCGGGUUGUAAACUGCUUUUGUACGGAACGAAAAGCCCUGGGUUAAUACCCUGGGGUCAUGACGGUACCGUAAGAAUAAGCACCGGCUAACUACGUGCCAGCCGCCGCGGUAAUAC
rnacentral:rRNA from 1 species